CUGUGGCGGACCCAGAUCACGCCGCAGCUGCAGGGCGCCGGCGUCUACCACUACGUCGACGGCACGUCGACCGAGCCGGCCAAAACCCACAUCACCAAAGAUGCCGCUGGGAAAGAAACCGAGGGGCCGAAUCCUCUCCAUCCGCUCUGGGUGAAGGAGGAUCAGCAGGUCCUUGGAUAUCUACUCCAACACCUAUCCAAGGAGGUGCUCGUCACGGUGACUGCGAUCACCACGGCGCGCGAACUCUGGGUGGCGCUGGCGAGCAUGUUCUCAUCGCAGUCACUCAGCCGCGUCAACAACAUUCGCACGGCGCUGAUCAACGCGCAGAAGAGCAACCAAUCGGUGUCCUCCUUCUUUGCCGCCAUGAAGGGGCUUGCUGAUGAGCUCGCCGCGGCGGGAAAACCAAUCCAAGACGACGAGCUCAUAUCCUACAUCAUCCACGGGGUGGACCAAGACUAUCAGCCCCUCGUCUCCGCUUUGGACGCCCGCGUCACUCCGGUAACCCUUGAUGAGCUCUUCGCUAUGCGUAGCAAUUUUGAUCAGCGCAUGGCGCAGUUUCACGGCUCCGGCGACGGCUUCAAGUCCUCGGCCAACUCUAUCUCCAGAGGCCGCGGUGGCGGCUCUCGCUCUCGAUCCUCCUCUCGUGGCAAGGGGAGGUCCGGUGGCGGCGGCUACUCCAACAACACUCGCGGCGGCGGACGCUCUGGCAGCUCAAAAGGGCGCCGUGGUGGCGGCUCCAACAGAUCGCGUCCGGACUUGCCUUGCUGCCAAAUUUGUGGCAAGCCCGGCCACACGGCGAGGGAC
rnacentral:rRNA from 1 species